rnacentral:rRNA from 1 species
AUGAACGCUGGCGGCGUGCCUAAUACAUGCAAGUCGGACGCAAUGCUUCGGCAUUGAGUGGCGAACGGGUGAGUAAUACAUAAGCAACCUGCCCCUGUGAGGGGGAUAACUGCUGGAAACGGCAGCUAAGACCGCAUAGGCAUACAUGACGCAUGUCGAGUAUGUUAAAUAUCCUACGGGAUAGCACAGGGAUGGGCUUAUGACGCAUUAGCUAGCUGGUGAGGUAGAGGCUCACCAGGGCGACGAUGCGUAGCCGGCCUGAGAGGGUGGACGGCCACACUGGGACUGAGACACGGCCCAGACUCCUACGGGAGGCAGCAGUAGGGAAUUUUCGGCAAUGGGCGAAAGCCUGACCGAGCAACGCCGCGUGAAGGAAGAAGUCAUUCGUGAUGUAAACUUCUGUUAUAAAGGAAGAACGGCGCCUGUAGGGAAUGACAGGCGAGUGACGGUACUUUAUGAGGAAGCCACGGCUAACUACGUGCC